CCCUUAGAUGAUUUGGGCUGCACGCGCGCUACACUGACCCUAACAAUGAGCAACUGUCUGGCCUGAGAUGGCUGGGUAGCCUUUUCAACCCAUGUCAUGAUUGGGCUAGAUUUUUGUAAGUCUUGAUCUCUAACGAGGAAUCCCUAGUAUGCGUGAAUCAUCAAUCCAUGCAGAUUAUGUCCCUGCCCUUUGUACACACCGCCCGUCGCUCCUACUGAUUGGGUGAUCCGGUGAGCUGUUCGGCCAUAGCAAUGUUUCUUGAGCAGGGCAAUGAAGGUUUCGCAAACCUUGCCACUUAGAGGAAGGAGAAGUCGUAACA
rnacentral:rRNA from 1 species